CCUACGGGAGGCAGCAGUGAGGAAUAUUGGUCAAUGGGAGAGAUCCUGAACCAGCCAAGCCGCGUGAGGGAAGACGGCCCUAUGGGUUGUAAACCUCUUUUGUCGGAGAACAAAACCCGGGACGUGUCCCGGACUGCGUGUAUCCGAAGAAAAAGCAUCGGCUAACUCCGUGCCAGCAGCCGCGGUACUACGGAGGAUGCGAGCGUUAUCCGGAUUUAUUGGGUUUAAAGGGUGCGUAGGCGGUCCGUUAAGUCAGCGGUAAAAUUUCGGGGCUCAACCCCGUCGAGCCGUUGAAACUGGCAGACUUGAGUUGGCGAGAAGUACGCGGAAUGCGCGGUGUAGCGGUGAAAUGCAUAGAUAUCGCGCAGAACUCCGAUUGCGAAGGCGGCUUUCUGGACUGAAACUGACGCUGAGGCACGAAAGCGUGGGGAGCGAACAGGAUUAGAUACCCUUGUAGUC
rnacentral:rRNA from 1 species